CAUCAGCCAUCUGACAAUUCAUGGUAAGUUUUCCUUUUCACCCCUUUUCUUUUGGGUGAGGGUGCUUUGAAGAUAUGGGGAUGAACAUAGGAAGUAGAUUGGUGAGGAAGCUUUGGAGUUAUGGGAAAGAUAUUACAUGGGAAGGUGUAGAGUGUAAACCAGGGAGCAUGUCAGUCACAUCCUAGAAUUGAUCUGUUUCUAAUUAUAACUAAUCUACGACUGUUUUGAAUGAGGAAACAACCUCUUAAUGGGUAUUUCCUUUAUUCUGUAAAUGAAACAGAAAUGAUGAGGUCAUUGUGAGAGGAUAAUAUGCUCAGUGAUCUAACAAUUAUCUGCAUCUUCUUGACUUGCGUGCCUUUUGCCUAAUGAGUCUGCUUGUGUGCAUGCAUGUCCCAUUGUCUUACUUUCUUCUACUUGAAGGAAAAUGUAUUUGCUGUCUUAUUGAGAUGGGAAUGAGUUUUAGAACCCUCCAUUUCAUGAUAUGACUUGGAAAUUUUGGUUGGAUUUAGGCUUAUCUUUCCUUUUGGCUGUUGAUGAUGACUUACUAAUCCAGGCAUAAAGGAGCUGUCUCCGACA
rnacentral:misc_RNA from 1 species